rnacentral:rRNA from 1 species
AGAGUUUGAUCAUGGCUCAGGAUGAACGCUGGCGGCGUGCUUAACACAUGCAAGUCGAACGAUGAUCCGGUGCUUGCGCCGGGGAUUAGUGGCGAACGGGUGAGUAACACGUGAGUAACCUGCCCUUGACUCUGGGAUAAGCCUGGGAAACUGGGUCUAAUACCGGAUAUGACUCCUCAUCGCAUGGUGGGGGGUGGAAAGCUUUUUGUGGUUUUGGAUGGACUCGCGGCCUAUCAGCUUGUUGGUGGGGUAAUGGCCUACCAAGGCGACGACGGGUAGCCGGCCUGAGAGGGUGACCGGCCACACUGGGACUGAGACACGGCCCAGACUCCUACGGGAGGCAGCAGUGGGGAAUAUUGCACAAUGGGCGAAAGCCUGAUGCAGCGACGCCGCGUGAGGGAUGACGGCCUUCGGGUUGUAAACCUCUUUCAGUAGGGAAGAAGCCCUCUUUGGGGGUGACGGUACUUGCAGAAGAGGCGCCGGCUAACUACGUGCCAGCAGCCGCGGUAAUACGUAGGGCGCAAGCGUUAUCCGGAAUUAUUGGGCGUAAAGAGCUCGUAGGCGGUUUGUCGCGUCUGCUGUGAAAGACCGGGGCUCAACUCCGGUUCUGCAGUGGGUACGGGCAGACUAGAGUGCAGUAGGGGAGACUGGAAUUCCUGGUGUAGCGGUGAAAUGCGCAGAUAUCAGGAGGAACACCGAUGGCGAAAG